rnacentral:rRNA from 1 species
AUUGAACGCUGGCUGCAGGCAUAACACAUGCAAGUCGAACGAGUGGAGUACGGGUGAGUAAUGACUGGGAAACUGCCUGAUGGAGGGGGAUAACUACUGGAAACGGUAGCUAAUACCGCAUACCAUCAGAUGGGCCCAGAGGGGAUUAGCUAGUUGGUUGGGGAACGGCUCACCAAGGCGACGAUCCCUAGCUGGUCUGAGAGGAUGACCAGCAACACGGGAACUGAGACACGGUCCAGACGCGUACGGGAGGCAGCAGUGGGGAAGAUUGCACAAUGGGCGCAAGCCUGAUGCAGCCAUGCCGCUUGUAUGAAGAAGGCCUUAGGGUUGUAAAGUACUUUCAGCGGGGAGGCGUUACCCGCAGAAGAAGCACCGGCUAACUCCGUGCCAGCAGCCGCGGUAAUUC